rnacentral:rRNA from 1 species
GAUGAACGCUAGCGGGAGGCUUAACACAUGCAAGUCGGGGGGCAGCAUAGGGUAGCAAUACUCUGAUGGCGACCGGCAAACGGGUGAGUAACGCGUAUGCAACCUACCCUGUACAGGGGGAUAACCCGGAGAAAUUCGGACUAAUAUCCCGUAAUAAUAUCCGGAGGCAUCUUUGGAUAUUUAAAGUUCCGACGGUACGGGAUGGGCAUGCGUAACAUUAGCUGGUUGGUAAGGUAACGGCUUACCAAGGCUAUGAUGUUUAGGGGUCCUGAGAGGGUGGUCCCCCACACUGGUACUGAGACACGGACCAGACUCCUACGGGAGGCAGCAGUGAGGAAUAUUGGUCAAUGGGCGCAAGCCUGAACCAGCCAUCCCGCGUGCAGGAAGACGGCCCUAUGGGUUGUAAACUGCUUUUCCAGGGAGAGAAACUUACGCACGUGUUGCGUGACUGACGGUACCCUGGGAAUAAGCAUCGGCUAACUCCGUG